CCGUAUUCACAACUGAUCUUAAGUUAAUUUUUUGACUUAAAUAUAAGAUUUUUCUUAUAUUUUGAGAAAUUAUCUUAGAUUUAAGAUAAGAAUCCGCAAUUUACUUAAGUGGUAUUCACAACUGUUUUUUAUCUUAAGUUUUGUCUUAAGAUGGACAAUUUUUGUCUUAAAUAUAAGUCAGCUACUACCCUAUCUUAAAGUUAAGAAAUUUCUUAACUUGGCAGUAAAUCAUCUUAAAAAUGGCGGACGUUAAUCGUCGAUUCGAUUGAAAACUUGCGUCAAUAACAGGUAUGUGAUAUUUAUUUGAGGUAGUUAACGCUAUAUAGGAUAUCAGUUAUUAUUUCGUUCAAAGAAAUUUCUGCACACAGUAUGAUAUAAACAAAAGAAGGGAGUUAAAUCGGAAAUAAAAAAAUCGAUAAGAAGACGCUGCUUUUACAACGGAUCACAAUUGGACUAAAUACUGUCGAAUUCUUGACCAAGCUGAUCAAGCUGCUUGUACCGAGUUCGUAUUUAUCAGAAUUGACAGUCAAAACAUACAAGGAAUAUAGAAUAGACAACAACAUGGAAUGAAUCUCAUAACAACAAUUUUUGGAAUGUUGCAAUUGAUACAUCAAUUUAUACUGCCGAAUAUAACAGUGUUUCAUCACAGUGAAAAUUAAGACAGUAUAUACCGUGUUAUAUCCAAUAGGUCAUUGUGAUGAUAAGGAGCAAACAUAUAAAAGAAUACAUUAACAAAGGAAUAGCUGUGAAAAGUAGAGACUGUAUAUAUUCAAUAUUCUUUCCGGAAAAUUAGAAAUAUCUCCUGUUGUUACUUACAUGCAUGUCAUUACAACAUUAUACAUGUAAACUAAUGGGGAAGUUAAAGAUUUUAAAUGAAUUGAAAGACACUGGAACACAUCAACAGAUACUAACUUUGAAAUACCACAGAUGAUCCAUAGCUAACUAUCGUGGUGACCAAUUUCAUUGUAAGCCAGCAUGUCUUGGAUAAAGAGCAAUACUUAGAAGGACAUCAUUUGAAAUUACCAGACUUUUCCACACCUGGUGUGAAAAAUUAAAUUUCACUAGACAGUGUAGACAGUGUAGACAUUAGAAAAUCUUGUCUGAUAUACAUGAAUAUAUCAUGUGCAUUGAUCAAUUAUAUAAACUUGAUGCAAUCUAUUUUAGUCGUAUUGUUUUGAAAAUAACCAAGACUGAUGAAACAUGCUUUGUUUCUGCAUAAUGUGUAAUAUUUGUUUCUUACUUUAAUUUUAACUGUAGAGAAAGCAAUUAGUAAAUUAAAAGGAUAAUCAGAAUGUUUAUCUUUUCUCAAUUCACUCUAACUAUGCAAAAUUUAACAUUAGAUUGAUUUUACAUAGUAAAAAAAAUAUGUUGAA